rnacentral:rRNA from 1 species
GAUGAACGCUGGCGGCGUGCCUAAUACAUGCAAGUCGAGCGAAUGGAUUAAGAGCUUGCUCUUAUGAAGUUAGCGGCGGACGGGUGAGUAACACGUGGGUAACCUGCCCAUAAGACUGGGAUAACUCCGGGAAGCCGGGGCUAAUACCGGAUAACAUUUUGAACCGCAUGGUUCGAAAUUGAAAGGCGGCUUCGGCUGUCACUUAUGGAUGGACCCGCGUCGCAUUAGCUAGUUGGUGAGGUAACGGCUCACCAAGGCAACGAUGCGUAGCCGACCUGAGAGGGUGAUCGGCCACACUGGGACUGAGACACGGCCCAGACUCCUACGGGAGGCAGCAGUAGGGAAUCUUCCGCAAUGGACGAAAGUCUGACGGAGCAACGCCGCGUGAGUGAUGAAGGCUUUCGGGUCGUAGAACUCUGUUGUUAGGGAAGAACAAGUGCUAGUUGAAUAAGCUGACACCUUGACGGUACCUAACCAGAAAGCCACGGCUAACUACGUGCCAGCCGCCGCCGUAA